GGUUUAAAGGGUGCGCAGGCGGACAUUCAAGUCUGCGGUCAAAUUCCGGGGCUCAACCCCGGCCAGCCGUGGAAACUGAAUGACUUGAGUGGGCGAGAGGUAUGCGGAAUGCGCGGUGUAGCGGUGAAAUGCUUAGAGGUCGCGCAGAACUCCGAUUGCGAAGGCAGCAUACCGGCGCCUUACUGACGCUCAGGCACGAAAGCGUGGGGAUCGAACAGGAUUAGAUACCCUGGUAGUCCACGCAGUAAACGAUGAAUGCUGGUUGUUCGGGCCGACUGAGGCCUGAGUAACGUAGUGAAAACGUUAAGCAUUCCACCUGGGGAGUACGCCGGCAACGGUGAAACUCAAAGGAAUUGACGGGGGCCCGCACGAGCGGAGGAACAUGUGGUUUAAUUCGAUGAUACGCGAGGAACCUUACCCGGGCUCAAACGGGAGCGGACGUGCGGAGAAAUCCGCAUUUCUUCGGACCGCUUCCGAGGUGCUGCAUGGUUGUCGUCAGCUCGUGCCGUGAGGUGUCGGCUUAAGUGCCAUAACGAGCGCAACCCCUGCGGACAGUUGCCAUCAGGUAGAGCUGGGCACUCUGUCCGGACUGCCGGCGCAAGCCGUGAGGAAGGCGGGGAUGACGUCAAAUCAGCACGGCCCUUACGUCCGGGGCGACACACGUGUUACAAUGGGCGGCACAGCGGGAAGCCAGGUGGUGACACCGAGCAGAACCCGAAAGCCGUUCUCAGUUCGGAUCGGAGUCUGCAACCCGACUCCGUGAAGCUGGAUUCGCUAGUAAUCGCGCAU
rnacentral:rRNA from 1 species